GCCUGGGUGGCUCAGUCGGUUGAGCGUCCGACUUCAACUCCGGUCGCGAUCUCACGGUCCGUGGGUUCGAGCCCCACGUGGGGCU
rfam:Felis catus isolate Cinnamon breed Abyssinian chromosome C1, whole genome shotgun sequence.